rnacentral:rRNA from 1 species
GUGAGGAAUAUUGGUCAAUGGGCGGGAGCCUGAACCAGCCAAGUCGCGUGAAGGAAGAAGGAUCUAUGGUUCGUAAACUUCUUUUGCAGGGGAAUAAAGUGCAGGACGUGUCCUGUUUUGUAUGUACCCUGAGAAUAAGGAUCGGCUAACUCCGUGCCAGCAGCCGCGGUAAUACGGAGGAUCCGAGCGUUAUCCGGCUUUAUUGGGUUUAAAGGGUGCGUAGGUGGUUUGAUAAGUCAGCGGUGAAAGUUUGCAGCUUAACUGUAAAAAUGCCGUUGAAACUGUCGGACUUGAGUGUAAAUGAGGUAGGCGGAAUGCGUGGUGUAGCGGUGAAAUGCAUAGAUAUCACGCAGAACUCCGAUUGCGAAGGCAGCUUACUAAGCUACAACUGACACUGAAGCACGAAAGCGUGGGGAUCAAACAGGAUUAGAAACCCUAGUAGUCC